UCCCUGUCCCAUACCUUUUUUUUUUUUUUUCAAAAAUGCUAUAUCCCUUGCCUCUUUAAUUUCAAUUCUAUUUUGGAAUAGUGCCUUCCUUAGCUGCCUCUGCUGGCCUUGAACUUGCUCUGUAAGCAAGGUGGACUUCAGGUGUGCCAUUCUCCUGCCUCAGCCUUUUGAGUUGCUGUGCUUUCAAGUCUUCAUUACCACACUUGGCUUAUAUGAUUCAUCUUCGUUGUUUAAGGAAGAGAAUCAGGGUCGGGAAGUCAUAAGCCUCUAGUCUCAUAAGUAGCUGGCAUGAACUCUUUGUGUGGCUGAAGAUGACCUUGAAUUCCCGUCUGCCUUUGGGAGCAUCCCUGUUCUUGGAUUUCAGUUUAUUGAUAUGGUGGAUUAUACUGACAGAUUUUCAUAUG